UUGCAAGGUAGCAAUUUUAGUGGAAGAUUUUAUGGGAUUUUAUUUAAAAAUAUAAUGAAAAUUAAGUAUCUGAAUCUAUGGAAUGAAAAGGCUGCUGUCUGCCAACAUGAUCAAUGAAAAGAUAAAUGGGUGAAGUUAUUGUAUCUCAGUGGAAACGAAAAAUUCCUCUUUAUACUGAGAUGGUUUUGUGUAGCAAAUUUUCACAUGGACCGUGACAAGCACUAGAAAUUUCUGCUUUAUGGCGGUGGUGAAGUACAAAGUUUUAGACCGAAAGACACUUUAUCUCCUUUUGUUUGCUGAUCAAAAGCGUGGACUCGAAAAUACCGAAAUUGCUUCAUCUGUCAAGGACAUUCAAGCCUCUCCAAGGCUAGAAACCAAAAGAAGAUCUGAAAAGAAAGACCCUG
rnacentral:lncRNA from 1 species